CCAAUAGCGCAUACUAAAGUUGUUGCAGUUAAAAAGCUCGUAGUUGAACCUCGGGGUUUACCCAUUGGUCAGGCUUAAUUGUCUGUACUGGUGAGAUGAAUCUCUACCUUCUGAGGAACUUUCAUGCCAUUUAUUUGGUGUGAUGGGAAAGCAGGACUGUUACUUUGAAAAAAUUAGAGUGUUUAAAGCAGGCUAACGCCUGAAUACAUUAGCAUGGAAUAAUGAAAUAGGACCGACUGAUUCUAUUUCGUUGGUUUCUAGGAUCACCGUAAUGAUUAAUAGGGAUAGUUGGGGGCAUUAGUAUUCAAUUGUCAGAGGUGAAAUUCUUGGAUUUAUUGAAGACUAACUACUGCGAAAGCAUUUGCCAAGGAUGUUUUCAUUAAUCAAGAACGAAAGUUAGGGGAUCGAAGACGAUCAGAUACCGUCGUAGUCUUAACCAUAAACUAUGCCGACUAGGGAUCGGACGAAGUUAAUUUUAUAAUGACGCGUUCGGCACCUUACG
rnacentral:rRNA from 1 species